rnacentral:rRNA from 1 species
GACGAACGCUGGCGGCGUGCUUAACACAUGCAAGUCGAGCGGUAAGGCCCUUUCGGGGGUACACGAGCGGCGAACGGGUGAGUAACACGUGGGUGACCUGCCCUCAGCUCUGGGAUAAGCCUGGGAAACUGGGUCUAAUACUGGAUAUGACUCCACGGUGCAUGUCGUGGGGUGGAAAGCCUUGUGCGGCUGAGGAUGGGGCCCGCGGCCUAUCAGCUUGUUGGUGGGGUGANGGCCUACCAAGGCGACGACGGGUAGCCGGCCUGAGAGGGCGACCGGCCACACUGGGACUGAGACACGGCCCAGACUCCUACGGGAGGCAGCAGUGGGGAAUCUUGCGCAAUGGGCGAGAGCCUGACGCAGCGACGCCGCGUGAGGGAUGACGGCCU